UAACCGUAAGUGAACCUGCGGAAGGAUCAUUAUUGAAUAAACAUUUGAUAGGCUGUUGCUGGCCCUUGUAAGGAAGGGUAGUGUGCACGCUUGUCAUUUAUUUGUUUGUUUUUCCACCUGUGCACCUUUUUGUAGACCUUAGAAUUUGGGGACUGCUGUGCGAGUGCCAGCUUUUCCUUGUCUCUCUCUAGGUUCUAUGUUUUUCACAUACUCCUACGAAUGUAAUAGAAUGUUGAUCUGGGUCUUUGAUGCCCAUAAAGUUAUAUACAACUUUCAGCAAUGGAUCUCUUGGCUCUC
rnacentral:misc_RNA from 1 species